UACAAGCGGGAAGUGAACCUGCUGGUUCUGGGUGCUUUGUUGAGUCAGUGUCACAUUUUCACUGUGGAUACUGCAGACAUUGUAUUUCCCGUCUCCAGUGUUUGUCAGGCGUUGAAAGGAUUGCGUUGAGACGAUGCCAUUUGAACGUGAGAUACCUUGGAUAACCUGGCCAGGGAUGAAGAGAUGGAACAGCUACAGCUUCAUUGCCCCUGACAUGAAGGAAAGUUCAGGGGAAAAAAUCGAGGAGCCUAACUUGAAGGGAAAACAACAGGAUGGAAGACUGUUGCCAGAACUACUGACAGACAUGACGGACAGAUUGAUCGUUAUGGAACACAUCAACUUGAUCUAAGGAUACAAGUCAAAUAUACCCCAAAACAUGGGAUGACUGUGCAUCAACAAAGAAAACCAAAAGACAACCUCUCCAUGACCAACAAUCAAGAGUAAAGAAAAUAUACGAAAUAAAAUCACAAUGUACUCAUAGCACAAAUAAAAUUGGAUUUUGACCUCACUUUUGCCAUUUUUCCUGAGGUGUAAAGCACCGAGGUGUGAAUUUGUAGCUGUUCAGCAACCUCAUAAAAAAGAACGCAUUUACUUUAUGUUUACUUUGUUUAUACAUACUAAUGAAACAAGACGUUCUGCCAUAGUCAGGCGUACUAUCACCUCGCUCGUAAAAGUGCUCCUCGGAAACGCGAUCCAACAGGAAAGUGUUUGUCCCACCUCACAAAAAGAAAAUAGUCUAGAUGUAGUUUAAUAUAAUCUUUAUUUUUCUUAAACAAAUUUUUUAAGUAAAAACAUUUUUUUGUUGUUGUAGAAAGACAUAUUCCCUGUCAGUAGUUGACUUAUUGUAUUCAUCGUUCUUGGUUGUGUAAAGCCCACUGGUCGGGUUGUUCAUGUUCCCUUCUACACAAAUGAGUCAAUAGAGAAAGCAGGAGAAUACACCACUGAGUCAGAAACAACUCAACUGACUCACUCAACUAACUCACUCAACCGGUGGGGGGGGGGGGGGGGGGGGGGGGGAGGGGAGGGA